AGCCUAACCCCAUAUGAAAAUAUGGGUAUGGCAUAAAAUACCGACGAAGAUACUGACCCCGUGGUUCAGGCACCUUCGUCGGUCCAUACUCGAAAGAGCGUGGGAGAGUAGUAAUACUCUC
rnacentral:sRNA from 1 species